rnacentral:rRNA from 1 species
CAGUAACGGCGAGUGAAGCGGCAUCAGCUCAAAUUUGAAAUCUGGCUCCUUCGGGGUCCGAAUUGUAAUUUGUAGAGAGUGCUUCGGGCGAGACCUCGGUCUAAGUCCAUUGGAACAUGGUGUCAUAGAGGGUGAGAAUCCCGUAUGCGACCGUGGCUCGAGCCCAUGUGAAGCCUCUUCGACGAGUCGAGUUGUUUGGGAAUGCAGCUCAAAAUGGGUGGUAAAUUUCAUCUAAAGCUAAAUACUGGCUGGAGACCGAUAGCGCACAAGUAGAGUGAUCGAAAGAUGAAAAGCACUUUGGAAAGAGAGUCAAACAGUACGUGAAAUUGUUGAAAGGGAAGCGCUUGCAACCAGACCUGCCCGUAGGCGAUCAGCCGCUGUUCUCAGCGGUGUACUCGCUCUGCGAUCAGGCCAGCAUCGGUUUCGGCGGUCGGAUAAAGGCCUUGGGAAUGUAGCUUCCCUUCGGGGGAGUCUUAUAGCCCUCGGUGUAAUGCGGCCAGCUGGGACCGAGGACCGCGCUUCGGCUAGGAUGCUGGCGUAAUGGUUGUAAGCGACCCGUCUUGAAACACGGACCAAGGAGUCUAACAUCUAUGCGAGUGUUUGGGUGUCAAACCCAUACGCGGAAUGAAAGUGAACGGAGGUGAGAACCCUUAAGGGCGCAUCAUCGACCGAUCCAGAUGUCUUCGGAUGGAUUUGAGUAUGAGCAUAGCUGUUGGGACCCGAAAGAUGGUGAACUAUGCCUGAAUAGGGUGAAGCCAGAGGAAACUCUGGUGGAGGCUCGCAGCGGUUCUGACGUGCAAAUCGAUCGUCAAAUUUGGGUAUAGGGGCGAAAGACUAAUC